GAUUAAGUUAUUAAGGGCGCACGGUGGAUGCCUUGGCACUAGAAGCCGAUGAAGGACGUUACUAACGACGAUAUGCUUUGGGGAGCUGUAAGUAAGCUUUGAUCCAGAGAUUUCCGAAUGGGGAAACCCAGCAUGAGUUAUGUCAUGUUAUCGAUAUGUGAAUACAUAGCAUAUCAGAAGGCACACCCGGAGAACUGAAACAUCUUAGUACCCGGAGGAAGAGAAAGAAAAUUCGAUUCCCUUAGUAGCGGCGAGCGAAACGGGAAGAGCCCAAACCAACAAGCUUGCUUGUUGGGGUUGUAGGACACUCUAUACGGAGUUACAAAGGACGACAUUAGACGAAUCAUCUGGAAAGAUGAAUCAAAGAAGGUAAUAAUCCUGUAGUCGAAAAUGUUGUCUCUCUUGAGUGGAUCCUGAGUACGACGGAGCACGUGAAAUUCCGUCGGAAUCUGGGAGGACCAUCUCCUAAGGCUAAAUACUCUCUAGUGACCGAUAGUGAACCAGUACCGUGAGGGAAAGGUGAAAAGCACCCCGGAAGGGGAGUGAAAUAGAACCUGAAACCGUGUGCUUACAAGUAGUCAGAGCCCGUUAAUGGGUGAUGGCGUGCCUUUUGUAGAAUGAACCGGCGAGUUACGAUUUGAUGCAAGGUUAAGCAGUAAAUGUGGAGCCGUAGCGAAAGCGAGUCUGAAUAGGGCGUUUAGUAUUUGGUCGUAGACCCGAAACCAGGUGAUCUACCCUUGGUCAGGUUGAAGUUCAGGUAACACUGAAUGGAGGACCGAACCGACUUACGUUGAAAAGUGAGCGGAUGAACUGAGGGUAGCGGAGAAAUUCCAAUCGAACCUGGAGAUAGCUGGUUCUCUCCGAAAUAGCUUUAGGGCUAGCCUCAAGUGAUGAUUAUUGGAGGUAGAGCA
rnacentral:rRNA from 1 species